GGAGAAGUACUCAAGUGGUUGAAGAGGUUCCCCUGCUAAGGGAAUAGGUCAGGAAACUGUCGCGAGGGUUCGAAUCCCUCCUUCUCCGCCA
rnacentral:tRNA from 1 species